rfam:Halostagnicola larsenii XH-48, complete genome.
GGGGUCGUGGCCAAGCCAGGCAUGGCGGCUGACUCCAGAGGCUACGGCGCCCGGGACGACACUCCAGACUGAUAUACUGAUCGGACACCUGAUCAGUGUCCGUGUGAUGACCCUCUGGAGUUCCGAGGCGCACCGGAGAUAUCAGUAGAUCGGGGGUUCAAAUCCCUCCGACCCCA